GAACGCUGGCGGCAUGCCUUACACAUGCAAGUCGAACGGCAGCGGACCUUCGGGUGCCGGCGAGUGGCGAACGGGUGAGUAAUAUAUCGGAACGUACCUUCAGGUGGGGGAUAACGUAGCGAAAGUUACGCUAAUACCGCAUAUUCUGUGAGCAGGAAAGCAGGGGAUCGCAAGACCUUGCGCUGAUUGAGCGGCCGAUAUCAGAUUAGCUAGUUGGUGAGGUAAAGGCUCACCAAGGCGACGAUCUGUAGCGGGUCUGAGAGGAUGAUCCGCCACACUGGAACUGAGACACGGUCCAGACUCCUACGGGAGGCAGCAGUGGGGAAUUUUGGACAAUGGGCGCAAGCCUGAUCCAGCCAUGCCGCGUGAGUGAAGAAGGCCUUCGGGUUGUAAAGCUCUUUCGGCCGGGAAGAAAUCGCACAGGUUAAUACCCUGUGUGGAUGACGGUACCGGAAUAAGAAGCACCGGCUAAUUACGUG
rnacentral:rRNA from 1 species